rnacentral:miRNA from 1 species
CUCGCUGCACUUGUGGAUC